GCCUCUCUUAUGGGAGGGAGUCCUGCUGUUUGCACUCAACGGCGCCGCAGGAGUCCACUUUUAUUCUUAACAGUUUCAAUCUAACUUUGAGGGCUCCUCCCUCUGGCCUCCCUCUGAGGCUAUCUGGGCAUUUAGGUAGUUUCCAAUUCUCAGUGGAAAUUAACCCCCAGGACAUCCAUCAUUAAACAUGAAGGUUUUCCCCACUUUCCUGAAAGUUACUGAGGACAAUUCUCAGAAGUGGAAAUCAUGGGGCCCAAAGAACUGAGAGUUCUCUUUGAAGCUAUCAUCAAAACUAUCUUCUAAAAGGCCUGUCCAGAGCCCAGCAGUACAACAUGGCCACCAUUAGCCAUCCCACUGUGGGGAAAAUGUGUGUGUGUGUGUGUGUGUGGUGCAGAAGCCAAAGGUCUUGCUGACCUGGCACUGGAACCCAAUAAAUAACCUAGACUCACUAA
rnacentral:lncRNA from 1 species